AUUGAACGCUGGCGGCAGGCCUAACACAUGCAAGUCGAGCGGAGCGGCGGACGGGUGCGUAAUGCCUAGGAAUCUGCCUCGUACUGUUGGAUGACGUCCGGCACCGGGCGCUAAUACCUCAUACUAUCACAUUAGCCUAGGUCGGAUUAGCUAGUUGGUGGGGUAAUGGCCUCCCAGGGCGACGAUCCGUACCUGGUCUGAGAGGGUGACCAGCCACACGGGAACUGAGAAACGGCCCAGACUCCUACGGGAGGAAGCAUGGGGGAAUAUUGGACAAUGGGCGAAAGCCUGAUGCAGCCAUGCCGCGGGUGUGAAGAAGGUCUUCGGUUUGUAAAGUACUUUAAGUGGGGAGGCGUUACCAGCAGAAUAAGCACCGGCUAACUUCGUGCCAGCAGCCGCGGUAAUAC
rnacentral:rRNA from 1 species